UACGUAGGGGGCAAGCGUUGUCCGGAUUUAUUGGGCGUAAAGAGCGUGUAGGCGGCUACGCAGGUCCGUUGUGAAAACUCGAGGCUCAACCUCGAGAUGUCGGCGGAAACCGUCUGGCUAGAGUCCGGAAGAGGAGAGUGGAAUUCCUGGUGUAGCGGUGAAAUGCGCAGAUAUCAGGAAGAACACCUAUGGCGAAGGCAGCUCUCUGGGACGGUACUGACGCUGAGACGCGAAAGCGUGGGGAGCGAACGGG
rnacentral:rRNA from 1 species